CACAUAUUGUGAGUUAAAUACAUGGUUUAUAUGUGGAUCUAAGCAUGAGAAAUUGUAGAAAUUGUGGGAUUUUUGGUAGAAAAUCUAGAAUUUGGUAUUUUUGGAGUUGGACCAUGAAAUUGGACGUGGAAUUGAGAAUAAAUUAUAUAUUUGAGUUCGUAAGGUUAUGGGUAAUGUUUAUCUUCAAAAAUUUUCGGAUCGAGUUUUCACAGAGGAUUUUAAAUCUGUUGUGUGGUUAAGGAUCGAGUUUUCACAGAGGAUUACGGAUGGGACUUGGAAGGUUCUAUGUUAUCAUCGGCUAUUUAGUGCAGUAUUGGAGGAAAGGAAUAAAUAGCUUCGGAUGUGCGGAAGGUCUUGCAGAAUAGGUGUACCAGUUGGAGAUGCUAUUGUGCGCAUAAAGAGGGUAUGAAAUGGUUCAUGAGUGUUGAAAUGAUGUGGUCUCAUGAUGCGGGUCAUUCGGGAUGAGUGCGGAUUGAUUUCGUUAUGUUGUGAAUGGAGCUAUUAUUAUUUCUAAGACAGGUCAACAUUAAAUUGAAAGGAGUUGGUCGGUUAGUAAUGGUUGAAUCGGCAUGAUUGUGGCAAUGAUCAGUCCCUUCGGUGUGUGAAGUUAUACAUGUGGUUUGGGGACGAAUGUGCGGCUUGACAACCACCAUAACUUGAUUGAUUUAGGAGGUAUUUGAUUCCAAUGGCCUUGUUAUGUAAAUAGAUUCCGGAAGAGUCAUGGCAGUUUAGGUCAUGACUUGAGGUUUGUAUUUUUUGCGGUUUGGGCAUUUUGUUGCGUGUUGCAUCGGUUCUUCCGAAAUGAGUUAAGUUAAAGGUUUCUAGCCAAUGAAGUGUCUGUUCUACUGGUAAUUUAGGGGUUAUGAUGAAUUCUUGUAUUGUCUCGUAGCGACGUGAUGGGUGCAGUGAGCGACAUGGGAAUUAGAAGUUGAGGAUUAAGGUUGCGGUUCAGUGUUGAUAAGAAUAUCACGAGCUCGGAUGAGCAGGGAAGAAUUCAGAUGUUUAGAGUGAGAUGGCGUUAUCUUAGUGUUGCUUGAGAAUGGUGUUAUGUGGAAGAGGCAUUGUGUAUUGAUUGGCGGAUUGUGAUUUGCCUUGCAGAAUUUGUAUGGUUGGUGGUAUGGAUGUGCAGACUCUGCUACCUGAGCGGGAGGUUGUGAAAGUGUACCCCACGAGGAGAUUUGUAUAAGUGUGUCAUGUUAGUCACUUGAUUGUUAAAGAUUAAGACUAGGUAUGAAGGUUAUGGUAAUAUCGCAAAUGCGAGAGCUUAUGCCUGAGAGGCGCCGUAUUCCUUUGGUUGUGGUCCGUGUGAGUUUAUUUCAGAUUUGACGGUUGUUCUUAUGUGUCAUGAAUAGGGCCAUUUGGAUCUUUGGAAAGUUAUUGGCCCAGUAUGGUAUGAUCAGAAUCGGUGUGAGGUCCGUUGGUGGGACUAAUGUGAGUGCGUGCCCUGCGUCAGGUCAGAUGUGUUCGUUCGUCAUAGCAUUGCUUACGGAGGAGUCAUUGGGCAUUGGAUGCUAUUCUCAUCGUCAGCUAUUCCAUGUAAAUCUCUAUUGUGCCAUUUGGGUUGUGAGGCGGCUUGAUUAUUCGCACACGUAUUGAGGUCCCGUGUAGCUUGUGGUGUUAUGUGAGCAGGAUGACUCUCGAGAUGCAGGUCAUUUAUUGCACCUUAGUUGUGCUUGGGGUUCAUAACGUAUGGCGCUAUCCGUAUCCCCAGGAUUUGGUAUUAUGCACUUGGCGGGCUUGUGGUCGACAUUCGGGCAUUUCGUAAGUAUAAGCAUUGCGACUUGAUAUGUGUGAUUUCUUCGUGGUUGUUAUGUGUGGAUCGGGUUGCACGCCGCAACAGUGUCAUGUCGAAUCGGGUUGCACAUCGCAACAGUGAGAUUUUGAGCAUAACUCCUUACACUUAUUUUGUGUGUCUUGUUAUCCACCCCUGAGGUGGGUUCACAACAUCUAUUCUGCCGUUUUAUUCGUUAUGCAUGCUGGGUAGUCCUUCUCCAGAGUUCGUUCUUCAUUAUGUAUCACAUUCGAGUUGUAGCUUGUUGGCGUGUUGUGGGCGACAUAUAAGAUUUUUGCCAGUGUCUGAGAUGAUUUAUUGCCUGAGAAGCUUGUACUGGGUGAGACGAGAUUAUUGGACCUGAAAUUAGUGCAACCAGAUUUAUAUAAGGUACAUUAAAGAGAAUAUUGUUAUUCAGUUCAGAAUGAGGUAAUGGUUCUUGUCAGGCGGAGAGACUCCAUGAAUUAUUGAUUCGGUAGGUGGUUAUGAGUUUCUACACAUCCUUUUUGUCGUGGUAGUAUCGCGAGUUUUGGAAGAGGAUUUACAUGUGUCAUGAGAUGUAUUACACGCAUCGGAUUCAUAAAAUUCCAGCUAUUGUAGUCGAAGGAUGUUAUUAUGGGCAACCGACAUAUGUGGUGCAUGGUGCGAUUUCAGCAUAGAUGCAUGAUCAUGUUUUGGGUCAGUGUGUGGUGAUUUGUACGGUGUUCGCGUGUUAGGAUCAGGCCUUGUAAAGAAAUUCGGAAGUUGGAACUUGGUUCUCAAGCUUGUUAGCUAAGGUUAUGGGGAGGAUUUUUAGUCAGGCUCGAGCUAAUGUGUUCAACUGGAAUGUGGUGGCACAGUUAGGUGCACGAGGUGUUACACAAUAAUUUUGAAUAAAUCCAGAGCAGUCCCUAGCACGAUCGAGGAAAACGUAUGUUUAAGUGGGGGAGAAUGUAACGACCCGACCGGUCGUUUUGAGCUCUAGCGCGUCGUUCGGCGGUUUGAGUUCUUGAGUAGUUUCACUUAAGGUAUUAUUACUUCUACGUGUGGUCGGAAAUGAAUUUUGGGAAGUUCAGAGUUUAUUUGGAAAGAAAAUUCUAAUUUUGGAAGCUUUAAGUUGAAAGAAUUCACUAAGGUUUGACUUUUGAGUAAAUGACCUCAGAAUCAUAAUUUGAAGGGUCCAAUAGGUAUGUAUGAUAUUUUCGGACUUGGGCGUAUGUUCGGGUUGAGUAUCGGACCAUCUGGGAGCAUUUCAACGCUUAUUAUGGAAAGUUGGUAUUUUAAAAGUUUAAGAAAUUCUUAAAUUUGACUUGAAGUAAAUGUUAAUGUUAUCGAUGUCCGUUUGGGAUUCCAAGUCUUGGAAUAGGUUCGUAUUGUGAUUUAUGACUUGCGCGCAAAGUUUGGCGUCAUUCCGGAAUAUUUUGACAAGAAUCAGACGCGUUCGUCGAAGUUUGAAGGUUGGAAAGUUAAAAGAAAGGUUUUGGCCAUCGAUUUGUAAUUCUGAUGUUGUUUGACGUAGUUUAAGGCUUCGACUAAGUUCGUACUGUACUUUGGGAUGUAUUGGUAUGUUUGGACGGGGUCCUGGGGGCAUCGGGUGAGAAUCGGAUUGAAAACGGAUCGAGUUUGGACUUGGGAGGAAGGCUGAAGCAGCUGGCAUCUGGUGUAACCGCACCUGCGAGGUUUUGGUCGCAGGUGCGGAGCCGCAUAAGCGGAACUGUGGCUGCAAAAGUGACUUUUGGACUAAGCUGGGAUGGCCGCAGAUGCGAGUGUAUUUCCGCAUCUGCGAGCCAGCAGAUGCGAAGGGUGCUCCGCAGAAGCGAAAAAUGAGAUGGGCAGCUCGGGUCGCAGAAGCAGAAGAUCUCCGCACGUGCGAAGGAGAAGGGGCGCGUGGUGGACCACAUAAGUGGUCGUGCAGAAGCAAAAAAUGGUCCGUAUAAGCGGAUUUUGCCUGUCUUGGAGGGAACGACACAUGCGAUAAAUUUUUCGCAGGUGCGGAAGGUCGGGUGUGCAAAUUGUUUUAAAAUCAGGGUUUUACUCAUUUCCCUCAUUUUCUCACAUGGUUUGGGCGGUUGUUGGGGAGCUUUAAGAAGAGAUUUUCAUCAUCUAUGUCAAGGUAAGUAAUUACCACAUAUUGUGAGUUAAAUACAUGAUUUAUAUGUGGAUUUAAGCAUGAGAAAUUGUAAAAAUUAUGGGAUUUUUGGUAGAAAAUCUAGAAUUUGGUAUUUUUGGAUUUGGACCAUAAAAUUGGACGUAGAAUUGAGAAUAAAUUAUAUAUUUGAGUUCGUAAGGUUAUGGGUAAUGUUUAUCUUCAAAAUAUUUCGGAAUCCGCCCGAGCACGUUGG
rnacentral:lncRNA from 1 species